UGAAAUACACAAGGUUAUUGCACAUUAUUCUUCAUUAAAUAUUCGAUGAUAAAAACAAAUAUGUCAGCGUAAAGGCUAGCCACGAUGUAGAGAAAAUCGUCUGUACAUCGUGAGGCUAGCCCAGCAAAAUUAAGUAUACAAGACGUAUACAGUCAAAUAUAAUAUAGUAGAAUUGAUAUCCCCUAACGCUGCCAUUUUAUUUCUGAAGAAAACAAUUCGGGACGAUGUGCAAUAACCUGUACAUUUCAACCAUCAACACUGUUGAUACCUCCGCUUCGUGAUACUUUUUUUUUAAUCAGAUAACGUUCGAAUGUGUUAUCACGCAGUAGUAUAAUUUCCAAUUUCCAUGCAGAAAACUUAAAAUUGAAAUUAAAAAUUCCAUAAUAAAAUUUGGAUGUUGAAUAAUUAUUUAAAAAGCUCUUUUAUGAAGAGUUAUCCUUAAAAAAUAGUUUUAUUCAUAAAUACUUUACACAGUUUUACUAUUACUUUUAACCAAAUAGUGUUUCAUAUCAUUUUAAUUUUUUUAUUUUAAACUUAUAUAGAAGUCAAAUAAAUUUCACCAUGGUUAGAUUGAUGAACAAGAUAUUCGACACAAUGCAUAAAGGCGUCGUUACAGUAGCUGUUGGCUUAACAAUUAUUUCCACGGGAUUAUUUGCUUAUAGAACGUAUGAAAUCAUUUUUGUUCCUGUAGAACAACGGCUCAAAGCAAAGCGAGAGAUUGAUGAUUUAUUACACAAUGAAGAAUUCUCAAAAGAUAAUUAAUGGGAGGUUGCUCGCCAGUGAACAAAUGAAACUCCUGCACAUCAUCUGGAAAACAUUAAUUUGUAUAUUUAGUCAUAACUAAUAAGUUUGUUUAAAAUAGCCUUAAUUUCUUACCAGUUACAUAAUUAUCCAAUUUCAUACAACUAUCAUAUGAUGGCGGUGGUGUUGUACCAUUUUGAAAAUUAGAUGGUACAUUAUGAUUUACACUAUGAUUUCCUUUAUUAAAUAAAACAUUUUGUUUUUA